rnacentral:rRNA from 1 species
AGCAGCCGCGGUAAUUCCAGCUCCAAUAGCGUAUAUUAAAGUUGUUGCAGUUAAAAAGCUCGUAGUUGAAUUUCGGGAUCAGUACGCUGGUCGUGCCUUUGGUAUGUACUGGUGUCACUGAUUCCUCCCUUCUGAAGAACCGUUAUGCCAUUUAUUUGGUGUGGCGGGAAAUCAGGACUGUUACUUUGAAAAAUUAGAGUGUUUAAAGCAGGCUCGCGCUUGAAUACAUUAGCAUGGAAUAAUGAAAUAGGACGUUUGAUCUUAUUUUGUUGGCUUCUAGGAUCGACGUAAUGAUUAAUAGGGAUAGUUGGGGGCAUUAGUAUUCAAUUGUCAGAGGUGAAAUUCUUGGAUUUAUUGAAGACUAACUACUGCGAAAGCAUUUGCCAAGGAUGUUUUCAUUAAUCAAGAACGAAAGUUAGGGGAUCGAAGACGAUCAGAUACCGUCGUAGU